ACGGGAGGCAGCAGCUAAGAAUAUUCCGCAAUGGACGAAAGUCUGACGGAGCGACGCCGCGUGGAUGAUGAAGGUCGGAAGAUUGUAAAAUCCUUUUAUGACUGAGGAAUAAGCAGUGUGAGAGAAACGCAUUGUGGUGACUGUAGGUCAUGAAUAAGCAACGGCUAAUUACGUGCCAGCAGCCGCGGUAACACGUAAGUUGCGAGCGUUGUUCGGAAUCGUUGGGCGUAAAGGGCAUGUAGGCGGUUUUGCAAGCUUGGUGUGAAAUCUCGGAGCUCAACUCCGAAAUUGCGUGGAGAACUGCAUAACUAGAGUCACUGAGGGGCAAUCAGAAUGCCAGGUGUAGGGGUGAAAUCUGUAGAUAUCUGGAAGAAUACCAAUGGCGAAGGCAGGUUACCAGCAGAUGACUGACGCUGAGGUGCGAAGGUGCGGGGAGCAAACAGGAUUAGAUACCCUGGUA
rnacentral:rRNA from 1 species